UAGGGAAUCUUCCACAAUGGGCGCAAGCCUGAUGGAGCAACACCGCGUGAGUGAAGAAAGGUUUCGGCUCGUAAAGCUCUGUUGUUAAAGAAGAACACGUAUGAGAGUAACUGUUCAUACGUUGACGGUAUUUAACCAGAAAGUCACGGCUAACUACGUGACAG
rnacentral:rRNA from 1 species